rnacentral:rRNA from 1 species
UACGGAGGGAGCUAGCGUUGUUCGGAAUUACUGGGCGUAAAGCGCGCGUAGGCGGCUUUGUAAGUUAGAGGUGAAAGCCCGGGGCUCAACUCCGGAACUGCCUUUAAGACUGCAUCGCUUGAAUCCGGGAGAGGUGAGUGGAAUUCCGAGUGUAGAGGUGAAAUUCGUAGAUAUUCGGAAGAACACCAGUGGCGAAGGCGGCUCACUGGACCGGUAUUGACGCUGAGGCACGAAAGCGUGGGGAUCAAACAGG